CAUCUUCAGGGCAGGGUGAAAUUCCCGACCGGCGGUAAAGUCCGCGAACCGAAAGGUUGAAUUGGUGAAAUUCCAAUACCGACAGUAAAGUCUGGAUGGUAGAAGAG
rnacentral:ncRNA from 1 species